UGGCUCUCGCAUCGAUGAAGAACGCAGCGAAAUGCGAUACGUAAUGUGAAUUGCAGAAUUCAGUGAAUCAUCGAAUCUUUGAACGCACCUUGCGCCCCUUGGUAUUCCGAGGGGCACACCCGUUUGAGUGUCGUGAAAAUCUCAACCUUCUCGGUUUUCUUCUGGACACCGAAGGAGGCUUGGACUUUGGAGGCCUUUGCUGGCAUCUCUCUCUUCUUGAGAGCCAGCUCCUCUUAAACGAAUUAGCGGGGUCCUCUUUGCCGAUCCUCGACAUGUGAUAAGAUGUUUCCAUGACUUGGUUUCUGGCUCUGUUGCCUUUGGGACCCGCUUCUAACCGUCUCGACGAGACAACGUUUGGGCGCGUCUCCCUUCUCGGGAGACUCUCUCAACCCCACGAACCCUUGACCUCAAAUCGGGUGAGACUACCCGCUGA
rnacentral:misc_RNA from 1 species